UUGUGACCCGACUGACCACAC
rnacentral:siRNA from 1 species